AUGAGGGCCCCCACUCAGCUCCUGGGGCUCCUGGUGCUCUGGCUGCCAGGUGCCAGAUGUGACAUCCAGAUGACCCAGUCUCCAUCCUCCCUGUCUGCAUCUGUAGGAGACAGAGUCACCAUCACUUGCCGGGCGAGUCAGGGCAUUAGCAAUAAUUUAAAUUGGUAUCAGCAGAAACCAGGGAAAACUCCUAAGCUCCUGAUCUAUGCUGCAUCCAGUCUGCAAAGUGGGAUUCCCUCUCGGUUCAGUGACAGUGGAUCUGGGGCAGACUACACUCUCACCAUCCGCAGCCUGCAGCCUGAAGAUUUUGCAACUUAUUACUGUCAACAGAGUGACAGUACCCCUCCCACAGCGUUACAAGUCAUAACAUAAUCCCCAAGGAAGCAGAUGUGUGAGGCUGGGCUGCCCCAAUGCUCCUUCCGGUGCCUCUAUCUGCUGAGGGAAGUUCUCAAACUCAGUCAGGUUUGGAAAGUCAUUGGGAGAUUUUCCUAGAGGAGGCCAGGGAGGUUCCUCUGAACCCUAAGCCUCUUUCACCCUCAUCCCCAGCAGAAAAGAUGUGACAAUGCCUGUCCUGACUGAAUAAAGAAGAGAGAUAAGUCCAA